rnacentral:rRNA from 1 species
ACGGGGGGUGCAAGCGUUGUUCGGAAUCAUUGGGCGUAAAGCGCGCGCAGGCGGCUUGGUAAGUCAGAUGUGAAAUCCCUGGGCUUAACCCAGGAAGUGCAUUUGAUACUGCCUCGCUAGAGUACGGGAGAGGAAAGUGGAAUUCCUGGUGUAGAAGUGAUAUUCAUAGAGAUCAGGAUGAGCACAGGGGGCGAAGGCGACUUUCUGUCCCGAUACUGAUGCUCAGGCGCGAAAGCGUGGGGAGCAAACAG